AUUGAACGCUGGCGGCAGGCCUAACACAUGCAAGUCGAACGAGUGGCGGACGGGUGAGUAAUGUCUGGGAAACUGCCUGACGGAGGGGGAUAACUACUGGAAACGGUAGCUAAUACCGCAUACCAUCGGAUGUGCCCAGAGGGGAUUAGCUAGUCGGUGGGGUAAAGGCUCACCUAGGCGACGAUCCCUAGCAGGUCUGAGAGGAUGACCAGCCACACUGGAACGGAGACACGGUCCAGACUCCUACGGGAGGCAGCAGUGGGGAAUAUUGCACAAUGGGCGAAAGCCUGAUGCAGCCAUGCCGCGUGUAUGAAGAAGGCCUUCGGGUUGUAAAGUACUUUCAGCGGGGAGGCGGUACCCGCAGAAGAAGCACCGGCUAACUCCGUGCCAGCAGCCGCGGUAAUAC
rnacentral:rRNA from 1 species